CCACCACAUUUAUAGACACCUGUUGCAGUAGCAGUUGAAAACUAAUAUACUGGUAUAGUGCCUUAGCCUCAGUACUGGAAAGGAGUCUUGACCCUGUGACAGGAGGGGAAAUCAAUGACCACUUCAGAUAAAGGACGUAGGCAAUAUGAUUCUGCCGCACUGUGACAUUUUUUUACUUUUGGAAUUGACUUUUUCGUUGUGAUAUAAUAUAAAGCCAGUCUGUAGUUAUUUAUUAUUUUGUACCUGAUUUAUAUUAGAUUGUGUAUUAAAAUUCUCUGAUUAAUGAAAUUGUUUCUUUUUAUGUAGGGGCCAGUACUGGAGAUUGAACCCAAGGGCACUCUACUGCUGAGCUACAUUGUUGGUACUUAGGAGUUCUUUGGGAGUUUUCUGUUUUAUGAGGCAGGGUCUUGCUUGCUAAGUUGCCCAAGCUAGCAUCAAACUUAAAAUCCUCCUGUCUCAUCCUCCAGAAUCGCUGGGGAUAUAAGUGUGCUAUAUUUUUUGCCUAUUUUUUUCUCUCAUUCUAGAAUUCUUCUAACUCCCAUCUAUAGUCUAUCACUUUCUUCCAUUUCUGCUCCAGCCUGAAAAUUUUAUUUCUUACAUAACCUGUAAUUUUUGCUUUAGGAGAAGUGCAGCUUUUUAAAUUUGUAUUUGUUGUUCUUUGUUUUUGUGGUGUUGAUGUCUCUAUCUAACUUAGGGCCUUGUGCAAGCCAGGCAAGGUAUCUACCACUGAACUACAGCCUCGGCGGGAAAGUUGUAGCUUUGUUAAUAGGCAUAUACUUAUAAUUGCUGUUAUUGUGAACUGUAGGCUAUGGUAUUUAGCAUCUUCAAGAUUAUAACCCCUGCUUAUCUUUGUUUAUUUGCCUAUUAUAUAUUUCUUCCCAAGUAAAUUUUAUUAGAGUUUACCGUGUUUAUAGGCAAGUCUGUACAUGAUAAUGCAAUCAAACAACCAUUAGAAUUAGAACUGUAUGACUUAAGUGAAAGAACACAAAGGGAACAGCAAUAUAAGUACCCAGGUCCAGUAAUACCUGCAACCUAGAAGUCCCUUUGGAGUUUUUGUUCAACCAGUAGCUCCACCAAAGUAACCACCAUACAUCAGCUUUGUCUCUUUUUGAACUGAUCUGUAUAAGGAAUCAUACACUGUGAGUACCCAACUGUGUUGG
rnacentral:lncRNA from 1 species